CCUACGGGUGGCAGCAGUGGGGAAUAUUGGACAAUGGGCGAAAGCCUGAUCCAGCCAUGCCGCGUGUGUGAAGAAGGCCUUCGGGUUGUAAAGCACUUUCAGUGGGGAAGAAAGCCUUGGGGCUAAUACCCUCGAGGAAGGACAUCACCCACAGAAGAAGCACCGGCUAACUCCGUGCCAGCAGCCGCGGUAAUACGGAGGGUGCGAGCGUUAAUCGGAAUUACUGGGCGUAAAGCGCGCGUAGGCGGUCUGAUAAGCCGGUUGUGAAAGCCCCGGGCUCAACCUGGGAACGGCAUCCGGAACUGGCAGGCUAGAGUGCAGGAGAGGGAGGUAGAAUUCCAGGUGUAGCGGUGAAAUGCGUAGAGAUCUGGAGGAAUACCAGUGGCGAAGGCGGCCUUCUGGACUAACACUGACGCUGAGGUGCGAAAGCGUGGGUAGCAAACAGGAUUAGAUACCCUGGUAGUC
rnacentral:rRNA from 1 species